AGAGUGCUGGUGCAAAUACAAUAGAAUCUCUCUUACCAGAAAAGCAUGUUGUAGUUGGACAAAGUGCUGUUAUCUCUUGCAAAUACAGUGGCAUUGGGCCCAGCUUUCAGUGGUAUCGCCAAUAUCCAAGAUCCAGACCAGAGUAUCUUAUUUUUAACACAGAGACUGCGGUUUCAUCCGAAUCCACUUUACGUCUCAAAGCGAUGGCUAAAAAAGAAAUCACAGAAGUGGAGCUGGAGAUCUCAUCUACUGAAAUCAAAGACUCUGCUGUGUAUUACUGUGCCCUGGUGCCCACAGUGACAGGAAACCCACCUGCUCUGUACAAAAACUUAAUACAUGAACACAUCUUGCAUUACACAAACAUUGUGACACACCAGCUUCCAAUCACGCACAAUAGAUCAAUGAUGCAACUGUUCUUAUUUUUCCAAAUUUAAUGAAACACUGUUAGGUCUUCUGAUUUUAAGAAAAGGACAACCCAUCAUCCAAGAUAAAGCCUCAGCCAGGGGGUGGAGCAAAUUCACAAAGUCUUUGAAUGUGUGAAAGGCUGGUUCGUUUAGAGUCACCCUGGUUUGAUAGUUUUACAAUCAUUCAUCAUCAGAAACCAUGAUGUUUCUUUUUUGUUGGAUACCACUGACAAUACUCAUAGGAAAUUCCUUUGCUGACACAAUACAGCCAUUGUCUUCUGAAAGGCAUAUUUUCAAAGGCGACAAUGUGACUCUGUCCUGUAACUACAGCGGUUUUGUAAACAAUAUUCAAUGGUAUCGGCAAUAUGUGGGAUCUAGACUGGAGUUUCUGAUACUUGUAAAUGAAAAUUCAGAGGCAUCUGAGCAUUCUCUUCGUCUGUCAGCAAAAGACUCAAAAGAGAAGAAACAAGUGAUUCUUAAAAUCUCUUCUGCUGAAGUGACUGAUUAUGCUCUGUACUACUGCGCUCUGAGGCCCACAGUGACAGAAAGCCCAGAAGCACUGUACAAAAACUCUGAUUUCAGUCGGAUGAUUUUGUAUUUCGGCAUAACUUUUUUUUUUAUUAUUACAUCAUUCUUUCUACUUCAAAAUGUCAUGUUAUUUGCUUCAUCUUUGUAAUUAAUUUUGAGUUUUUUAGUGUGUGUGUUACUAAAUUUAUACUUAAAUGUAAAAUUUCCAUUAAUAAUCCAACCCUAUUCCAUUAUACAGAAGGCUUUAAUUUUCUGUUUGAUUUCAAUUUCUUAAAAUGGAAUAAAUAUUCAAUAUAUGUUCACAUUAUGAGGUGCUCCAGUAAUUCCCAUGUGCACAACAAAAAUUUUAGUUUGUUACUUUAGUAUGAAAUUUUCAGUAACUUAAUGUUUUCUAUUUUUUUAUUUUAUUUUAUUACAUUUUUCUAUAAACUAAUGUCCAAGUAUAAACCUUGAGAACUGCUUUAAGAGGAAUUCCUUCUAACUUGGCAGAAGUCAUUAUCAAAGGGUAAAAAUACAAAUACUGUCCAAGUCCUCAGUGAUUUGUGAAAGUCUAAAUGUGUUUGUUUUCACCCAGAAGAGGGCGUUCUUCUGUUAUCUGUGUCCCUCAACACUCGUCAUGGAAGGUCAAAUCUUGCCACAGGGUGGAGCUCCAGGCUUAAAUCACUGUGUUCCAGUCAGGAAAAAACACAUCUGAGUUUGUCAUUUCAUUCCAUCAUGCUGCUCUGUGCACUUGGAAUAUUUUCAGUACUUGCAGGUGAGACUCGUUUAUUUUAUCA
rnacentral:lncRNA from 1 species